GACAUAGGUGGCGAACGUUAUCCGGAAUUAUUGGGCGUAAAGCGCGCGCAGGUGGUUUCUUAAGUCUGAUGUGAAAGCCCACGGCUCAACCGUGGAGGGUCAUUGGAAACUGGGAGACUUGAGUGCAGAAGAGGAAAGUGGAAUUCCAUGUGUAGCGGUGAAAUGCGUAGAGAUAUGGAGGAACACCAGUGGCGAAGGCGACUUUCUGGUCUGUAACUGACACUGAGGCGCGAAAGCGUGGGGAGCAAACAGG
rnacentral:rRNA from 1 species